UACAGAGGUCUCAGGCGUUGUUCGGAUUCAUUGGGCGUAAAGGGCGCGUAGGCUGCGGGGCAAGUCGGGUGUGAAAUCUCAGAGCUCAACUCUGAAACUGCACUCGAUACUGCUUUGCUUGAGGACUGGAGAGGAGAUUGGAAUUCACGGUGUAGCAGUGAAAUGCGUAGAUAUCGUGAGGAAGACCAGUGGCGAAGGCGGAUCUCUGGACAGUUCCUGACGCUGAGGCGCGAAGGCCAGGGGAGCAAACGGG
rnacentral:rRNA from 1 species